AAUAAAUAUGAAGGCUGUACGCGGCUGUGCUCUCGGGCCAGUUUUGUCGAGGCUGAAUUAUUUAUUACCCUUGUCUUUUGCGCACUUGUUGUUUCCUGGGCGGGUUCGCCCGCCACCAGGACCACAUCAUAAACCUUUUUUAUGCAGUUGCAAUCAGCGUCAGUAUAACAAAUGUAAAUCAUUUACAACUUUCAACAACGGAUCUCUUGGUUCUGGCAUCGAUGAAGAACGCAGCGAAAUGCGAUACGUAGUGUGAAUUGCAGAAUUCAGUGAAUCAUCGAAUCUUUGAACGCACAUUGCGCCCUUUGGUAUUCCAAAGGGCAUGCCUGUUCGAGCGUCAUUUGUACCCUCAAGCUUUGCUUGGUGUUGGGCGUUUUUUGUCUUUGGUUGCCAAAGACUCGCCUUAAAAGGAUUGGCAGCCGGCCUACUGGUUUCGCAGCGCAGCACAUUUUUGCGCUUGCAAUCAGCAAAAGAGGACGGCAAUCCAUCAAGACUCCUUCUCACGUUUGACCUCGGAUCAGGUAGGGAUACCCGCUGAACUUAAGCAUAUCAAUAAGGCGGAG
rnacentral:rRNA from 1 species